CGCAAGGACAGUCCAGCUUCCCAGCCUGCCCCGACUUCCUAAGCACUGCUACGGCGUCAGGAAGGUCAGAGAACUGACGCAAAGACGUCCUCUCCAGCACCGUCUUGAUCACUGGAAAGCGUUCUGACCUUGGGAAGAGGGGGUCGUCCACCCUCACAGCCCCCGCAUUCGGCUUUUCCUAGGGGUAAACCCGCUGCAGAGAGAGGCACAAAGGGCCUGUGCUGCCACAGACGCUUAUGCUCCCCCAGGGCAAUGGAGAAAUAAACGAGGCAUUUGCAUUUCACAACAGAUGAGGCUGGGACCAAAUGGAAACUCCACGGGCACUGCGGACCCCUCUUCCACCAGAGGAGCUGCAGCCUGAGACCAGCACCUGGCUCACUGCCAGCUCGGCCACCUCCUGGUCCAGGGGCUCUGGGCCAGUUACUUAAACUCUGCACCUCAGUUUCCCCGUCAGUAAAACUAGGUGAUUAACAACACUCGCUUGGCAGGGCUGCCAGUAGAAUUAGAAACACUGCAUUGAGCUUUCAAUGUGUGGCUGGCAUUGUAUAAACGAACAGCCCACAUGAGACAGAAGCACCCCUGCCUGGAGAAGCUACCCCGCCAUGCCCACCGCACCCAAACCAACAACACAGAAGGGAGAGACUGGAAACUGCUGCUGACAGUUUUUGAGAUGAUUGCCUCGUCCUCACCUUGCUCCCCCAUCUCACACUGGAGAAAGUGUAGUUGUUUUCACUCAGGCUUUGUUAUCGUCAAAAUUAGCCAGUGCAAUUUCUCACAGGAAGGGCAUAUGGGCACAACUAUUUGUUAUUGUUAUGUCAUUUCUCCUGUGUGGGCCAAUUCUCACAUUCAAAAUUGUUCACACAUUCCCUCCUCCUAAACUUCUCCACCAAAAUGUUAGCCAAUUUUAGAACAACUAUUUGGUUAGGAAGUGUUUUGCAUUGAAAAGUAAUAUAGACUGAUAUUCCUGGAAUAAACCAUUUGAAAGUUAUCUUAAAUUUACCCCUGUCUUAUCUCAUGGAAACAAAGAGACAGAGAACAUUCUAGAGUUGGGAAGGAUCCUGGACAUGACUGUUAUACAAUCACUCAACCGGUGUGAAAUUUUUUAUCCUCUUUGAAAGAUUCCCUAGAACGGAUAAUCUAUCAGUCAUGGUUUUAAUAGCCCUUUGGCCAUUUUCAAAUAUCAACUAUGCCCCUUUUUAUGACAGUGG
ensembl:lncRNA